AUUGAACGCUGGCGGCAGGCCUAACACAUGCAAGUCGAGCGCGCGGCGGACGUGUGUGUCAUGUCGGGGACAUUGCCUUAUGGAGGGGGAUACUUACUGGAACCGGUACUUAAUCCCGCAUACCAGCAGCUUUGCCCUGAUGGGAUUAUCUAGUAGGUGGGGUAAUGGCUCACCUAGUCGACGAUCCCUAGUUGGUCUGAGAGGGUGACCAGCCACACUGGAACUGAGACACGGUCCAGACUCCUACGGGAGGCAGCAGUGGGGAAUAUUGCGCAAUGGGCGAAAGCCUGAUGCAGCCAUGCCGCGUGUGUGAAGAAGGCCUUCGGGUUGUAAAGCACUGUCAGCGAGGAGGCGUUACUCGCAGAAGAAGCACCGGCUAACUCCGUGCCAGCAGCCGCGGUAAUUC
rnacentral:rRNA from 1 species